CUCCUCUAUUACUCGAAGGAUAUGCCCAAGAUAGGAUGGAAGAUGCGUAGGAAAUUGUGUGUGACAUUCUCAAUGAAUUCGUCCCGUCGCCGACGAGAUUCAUCAUGUAAGGCCUUUAAUAAUUUAAUUAAAUUUAUCCAUCAACAA